GGACGGGGCAACCCCAGAGCCCUGGGCCGGAGGGAGGUGCCGAUGGAAAGACGGGAAACCCGGGAACCCGGAGUAUUUCCUAAGCACCGGAGACCCGUGGGUCGGCCAGUCUUCAUUCGGACGCCGGCCACAAGCUUAGGUGGAGAUCUCCACCGCAAAUUGUUACCGAGAGAACAAAGUCUUCAAGUUUAUAAUCCAGUGACUCACUCACAGCCACACUUCAUAAAUCAAAAAACCCCCAGAACUGACUCUUCUGUCAUUUGAUACAUGAAGGGGCAAGAUAAUCUCACCUCUGAUAGCUACCUGAAGAAGAAACAACCAUUUCUUCAGAAAAAUACAACAUGGCUCAAGAACGUUUCAGAUAAUAAUUACCAACUUGCAGACUCAAAAGGUUGGACUAUUGAAUUUGCAUGCUAAAUAAGUGAAGAAAUUGUAAUAUUUACAGUACACAAACUUAGAAAUGUUAUAUGCCUGAAAAUUGGUCC